CAUCACCAAACUAGACCGACGGGAUUUGUAAUACCUGAAUAUAAUACUGUAUGAUAUAUAUGGUUUGAAGUUUUUAGUUGUGGUUUAACUAUUGAUUACCUUCAAAUUAUAACUAGGCGUAACUAAACCACCAAAUUUGAGGUGCUAAAAUUAUAGACACAUCACAGACUUACAGGAAAAAUGCCCCCCACAGUCCCUUUU